rnacentral:rRNA from 1 species
UACGUAGGGGGCAAGCGUUGUCCGGGUUUAUUGGGCGUAAAGAGCGUGUAGGCGGCCAGGUAGGUCUGCUGUGAAAACUCGAGGCUUAACCUCGAGCUGUCGGCGGAAACCAUCUGGCUAGAGUCCGGAAGAGGAGAAUGGAAUUCCCGGUGUAGCGGUGAAAUGCGCAGAUAUCGGGAAGAACACCCGUGGCGAAGGCGGUUCUCUGGGGCGGUACUGACGCUGAGACGCGAAAGCGUGGGGAGCGAACAGG